AUAAUGGUCGUGCGCGGUUCCUGUAAAGAAAAAAAACAGAAGAAGGACGGCCUUGUGCUGUGAGGGGAAAGAGUGUGUCAUCUUGUUUAUUUUCCUUUGGUUUGCUGUCUUUUUCCAGGCCAUGGGGCGCGAUGAUAACAAAAAAAUAUUGCGGGCGUCCGUGUCCUCACAGCGGACUGCCCUCCCCCACCACCACCACCACCAUUACCACCACCCGACGCGAUCCGACGGGGACCGCAGGGCCCUCGCAGCAACAUUUUUGCCAUGAGGAAGAGGAGCAGAGAAGUUACCGCCUCUGCUCCUGAGGCAGAGCCGCCGGCAGCUUAGAGAGACCAAGAGGCAACAGCGAACAAGAGAGAUCCACAGACCCCACAGUGGCCCCAACCAUACCUCCAUACGUCCCUCCCACGAACAGGCCGACCAGUGACCCCAGCAGCGACUCCCUUCUCACCAGAGAGGACAGC